UACGGAGGGUGCAAGCGUUAUCCGGAAUCACUGGGUUUAAAGGGUGCGUAGGCGGCUUUGUAAGUCAGGGGUGAAAGCCCGCAGCUUAACUGCGGAACUGCCUUUGAUACUGCAGAGAUUGAAAGAGGUUGAGGUCAGCGGAUCGUGACAUGUAGCGGUGAAAUGCAUAGAUAUGUCACAGAACACCAAUUGCGAAGGCAGCUGGCAGGGCCUACUUUGACGCUGAGGCACGAAAGCGUGGGGAUCGAACAGU
rnacentral:rRNA from 1 species